rnacentral:rRNA from 1 species
AGUGAACGCUGGCGGUAUGCCUAACACAUGCAAGUCGAACGGCAGCACAGUAACUGCUUGCUCUAACGGGUUGCGAGUGGCGUACGGGUCAGGAAGACAUCCUAAUCUACUUUUUCGUAUAGGAUAACGAAAGUAGACUUACGCUAAUACCGCAUACGACCUACGGUUGCAAGCUGGGAAUCUUCGCACCUUGCGCGAUUGAAUGAGCCUAUGUCGGAUUUGCUAGGUGGCGGGGUAAAGGCCCACCAAGGCGACGAUCCGUAGCUGGUCUGAUAGGAUGAUCAGCCACAUUGGAGCUGAGACAGGGUCCAGACGCCUACGGGAGGCAGCAGUGGGGAAUAUUGGACAGUGGGGGGAAGCCUGAUCCAGCCAUACCGCGUGGGUGAAGAAGGCCUUCGGGUCGUAAAGCCCUUUUGUUGGGAAAGAAAAGCAGCAGGUUAAUACCCCGCUGUUCUGACGGUACCCAAAGAAUAAGCACCGGCUAACUUCGUG